rnacentral:rRNA from 1 species
AUCGAACGCUGGCGGCAGGCCUAACACAUGCAAGUCGAGCGGAUGAAGGGAGUUUGCUCCUGGAUUCAGCGGCGGACGGGUGAGUAAUGCAUAGGAAUCUGCCUGGUCGUGGGGGGUAACGUCAGGUAACGGGAGCUAUUCCCGCAUCCGUCCUGAGGGUGAAAGAGGGGGUUCUUCGGUCAUAGCUCUAUUUGCUGCGCCGAGGUCGGAUUAGCCAGUUGGUGGGGUAAAGGCCUACCAAGGCGAGGAACCGUAACUGGUUUGAGAGGAUGGUCAGUAACACUGGAACUGGGACACGGUCCAAACUCCUACGGGAGGAGGCGGAGGGGAAUAUUGGACAAUGGCCGAAGGCCUGAUCCAGCCAUGCCGCGGGUGUGAAGAGGGUCUUCGGAUGGUAAAGCACGUUAAGAUGGGAGGAAGGGCAGUAAGUUAAUACCUUGCUGUUUUGACGUUACCAACAGAAUAAGCACCGGCUAACUUCGUG